rnacentral:rRNA from 1 species
GACGAACGCUGGCGGCGUGCUUAACACAUGCCAGUCGAACGGAAAGGCCUGCUUUCCCUUGUGGAUUGCGGGUACUCGAGUGGCGAACGGGUGAGUAACACGUGAGUGAUCUGCCCCCAACUUGGGUAUAAGCCUGGGAAACUGGGUCUAAUUCCCGAUAGGACUGCAGGGUGGUGCCUGUGGUGGAAAACGAUUUUCUAGUGGUUGGGGAUGAGCUCGCGGCCUAUCAGCUUGUUGGUGGGGUAAUGGCCUACCAAGGCGGCGACGGGUAGCCGGCCUGGGAGGGUGGACGGCCACAUUGGAACUGAGAUACGGCCCAGACUCCUACGGGAGGCAGCAGUGGGGAAUAUUGCACAAUGGGCGGAAGCCUGAGGCAGCGACGCCGCGUGGGGGAUGACGGCCUUCGGGUUGUAAACUCCUUUCGACCGCGAGGAAGCCACCUGGUUGGAAGGGUGGUGACGGUAGUGGGAGAAGAAGCACCGGCUAACUACGUG